AACCUGUGGAAUGCUGAGAAAGCCUGGUGAAAUUGUACUCAGCCUUCACACCUCAGGUUAGAUGUCAUUUCCUAUGAGAAGCCCGCCUCGUUCAGGACGUCCAUGAUCUCUCACAGCCUUCUGUGUUCCCUCCUCAACACGGUGUUUUAUAGCUUUUUAAAAAAUUCUGUGAUCAUAUUAUGCUCAGCAAACAGAGAGAGACUAUUCUUGUUUCCUGUGCCUAGGAUGUGCCUGAUGUAUGGAUCUGUCUCCAGCGGGACCAGAAAACCAUAUGUGGCAAUACUUAUAAACUGCCUCUAGCUAUAUAGAUUAAUACAGAAUCAUCUUUCUUUAUGAGUUUUCCACCAAUAAACAUGUGUAGAUAUAAGCAAA